GACGAACGCUGGCGGCGUGCUUAACACAUGCAAGUCGAACGGAAAGGCCCUGCUUUUGUGGGGUGCUCGAGUGGCGAACGGGUGAGUAACACGUGAGUAACCUGCCCUUGACUUUGGGAUAACUUCAGGAAACUGGGGCUAAUACCGGAUAGGAGCUCCUGCUGCAUGGUGGGGGUUGGAAAGUUUCGGCGGUUGGGGAUGGACUCGCGGCUUAUCAGCUUGUUGGUGGGGUAGUGGCUUACCAAGGCUUUGACGGGUAGCCGGCCUGAGAGGGUGACAGGCCACAUUGGGACUGAGAUACGGCCCAGACUCCUACGGGAGGCAGCAGUGGGGAAUAUUGCACAAUGGGCGGAAGCCUGAUGCAGCAACGCCGCGUGCGGGAUGACGGCCUUCGGGUUGUAAACCGCUUUCGCCUGUGACGAAGCGUGAGUGACGGUAAUGUGUAAAGAAGCACCGGCUAACUACGUG
rnacentral:rRNA from 1 species